rnacentral:lncRNA from 1 species
CCAAAGCAUAUACAAAUUACAAACUAGAAUACUAAAAAAAAAUGAACAAAAUCAAUAUGAGCACAAUAACCAAAUAAAAAAUAGAAGAAAAUUGUCAACACUCUCUCCAAAAAAAAUACCAAACUCUCUCACAAAAUACCCACACCAAAAAAUAAUAAUAAAAAUAAAAUAAAAUAAAAAAUAAAAAAUAAAAAUCAAGAUCUGAAGAGCUGUUAGCCUAUCUAUU